UUUAGAUAUGAAUGAAGCUUUUGGCAUCACUAUGCACAGGACAGCUGAUCUGAUUGUUGUAGCCAAGCCUCAUUUUCCCCAAGAAAAUUCACCAUCGAGCUAGGUCAAUAUUUUCCCUCUUGUCAUAUGAAUUCAUUUUGCUUCCCUGUAUGUAAUAAGCAGAAAAGAAGAGAGAGUAAAGGUUAAAAUUUAUGGAAGUUUUUUUUUUUUUUUUUUUUCUUGAUUUGAGUAUCCCUGGCAAGUGUAUAGAACUGGCACCCUGGUAAGUACUUAAAAAAUUAAUAUUCAAGAUACUAUUGACUCAGUAGGAACGUGUUACCUAAAAGUUGAUGAGCUCAAUCGUUGAGCUUGCACUACAACUUAAACCUGUACAAGGAGAAAAAGCUGUUUUUUAUAAAAGGAAAAUAAAAGAGUCUAAUGGGGUUUGCCAAGAGAGCUCGAACUGGAUUUUGGUUUACUCGUCCAACACUGACAGCAGGUCAAACCAACCCAACAUACGGCGAAGACAAUGAAUAAUAUACGUGAUAUAAGAUGGUUGCAUAGGAUGAGCAUGAUAUUUUUGAAACUCGUAAUUUGGCUAUAAGUGUUUGUCUUGAGUGUACGAUAUAUAGUUUUGAAGCUCGCAACAAAUGAACCAAAACU
rnacentral:lncRNA from 1 species